rnacentral:lncRNA from 1 species
AAAAAAAAUUCAAAAACCUCCCAAAGUCCUUCCUCUCUUUCCAGAAUCCGGCCCAACUCUGGCAACGGACCACCGCAGCGGCCGUCGGUCGUCGGAUACGGCGUCGCCGUUCGCGGUGGCCGAAAAAUAAAAAAAAAAUUUGGGGUUUUUUCAACUCUUGGGCCCAAAAAACACCGAUUUUCAUCGCAAUCGGCACCUCCCUCGCAAAAAGGUACGAUUUUUAUCAUUUUCUCCUUUUUUUGUUUCCUUAAAAAAUAAAUAAAUAAAUAAGCCGAUAAAAAAUAAAAAUAAAAAUAAAAACGGCACAACUACCUUUGAAAAUGAUCUGUAUUUGAAUUGAUUUUUCUCUGUUUUCUUUUGAUUCAUUCGUAAGUAAAAAAAUCGGGGCAAAAAAAAUCGGGGCCCUUUUUAUAGCCCGAAAAUACUACCUAUUUUCCUAUUUUUUUUCUAUUUUUUACAUUGUUUUUUUGCUCUUGGACUCUUCUAGUUUGUUUUACAAGUACAAGGACGUGGCGGCACACGCGGAGGAAGCGGCGCGCGCGAGGGCUGCCGUUGGGGGCGUGCGGCGGCUGAGCUUAGGCUAAGGUUUUCUGUUUUUUCAUUUGUUUUGGGCUAGGGUUUGCAAUGGGUUAUUGGGUUUGAAUUGGGUAUUGGGCUAAUGGGUUUGUUGGCCUGUUUAUUGGUUUUGGGCCACUGUAAUUCUAGACUGGACAUUAAUUUUAUUUUGGUUUUUAUUUGGUUUUAUUUUUUGUUUUCGGUGUUAUUGAUUUAAUUGGGCC